CCUGGUUAGGACCUGGGAUGCCGGAAAUCUGAGACUCUGCCUUCCCCUCCUGAGACACUCUGAAACCCUGCUUAGAAAUCGAGCACAAAGGCUCUGGCCUCCCAGAGAAAGACACGGAUUUGCAAAGGCAAAGAGCUGCAUUUUUCUCCGAGCUGGAGCACUUUCCGGUUUCCAUGAUGGGAUUUAAACAAGACUGCAGCUUUACGGUUCCCCUGUCGGUGUUUUCUCCUUCUUGGGGACUGACAAGGUGGAAGAGCCAACAAGAACCCUGUGUGCUCCUUUGCAGGACCUGGAAGGGACAGGUGGUGCCCUGCCCCAGGAGUCCUCCUGCUCAGGAGCCUGGGAGUUGAGGAGGUCUGGAAGCAGUGGGCCCACAGUGCCAUCGCCUUGGGAACCCACAGUGCCUUGGAUGUGGCUCCCUCGGUCCUAGCUUUGCAGGCAGCCUACCUGGACUGCACCCACCUCCCAGAAGAGCUGCUCAGAUCCUGCAUGUCCAAAAGAAAAGACCAAUCAAAGAAGUGAGGAAACCAAAGAGAGGCCUUAUGAAAGCUUAUGACGCAUUUUCCAAGGGCACACUCCAGCAACUUCAAAUGCUUUCUGAAACUCUCCCCAGGAAAAAGCAGUGUGCGUGGACCGCUACCUGGUCACACCUUGAGAUAGCCAUCCUCUCUGGAACACUGCCUUGGGGGAUGCAGCACAGGGCAUCCAAGCAACCCCUGAGCUCAGGGUAGAGACACCAGGAAGCAGCAGGCGGGCUGUGACCCCGCAGGCCUGUUCCAUGGCUCCUGCUGCCUGCACCACGGCAUGAAGCUCAGAUGCACCUCUGGACUUGGGGUUCUGACCAGACGGAGCCACCAAUCCUCUGAAGAAUGAAACACACAGGGGUCACCCUUGCCUCCCAGCUGCAGGGAAUGACGACCACCCAGCCCUUCCUUUCCCCAAUCUUCUCCAGGCUUCUGUGCGUGGCUCUGCUGACCUUCCUCCUGUCUCUGGUUAUUCUCUCAGCCUCUGCUGGCUCCUCCUCUGCCCUCACCCACGGAGUCAGUCCUGGUGCCUUGAGGGCCCCUCUCCCUAGCUGACUUCACCCAGCCCCCAAGCAUUCAAUGCCAACAAUGCGAACUUCUUU
rnacentral:antisense_RNA from 1 species